rnacentral:lncRNA from 1 species
AUGUGGCUGCCAUACGACCCGGGUCCUUCUGGUUUGAGAGCCCUUGUCCUCCGCACUCCGUGCCCGCUGUGGCACCAUGGUGUUGAGGUGCGUGAUGGUGUAAGAAUUAACGGGGCAGCGGGGGACCGGGGACGAUUGGCAGUGGGGAGCGGCAUAGGGUGUGAGAGCAGGGAACAAGAAGGCCACCUGUGGUGUGUGUGUGUGUGUGUGUGUGUGUGUGUGUGUGUGUGUGUGAGAUAUGUGUAUGGUGUGUGUUGUGUGUGUUGUGUGUUGUGUGUUGUGUGUGUUGUGUGUGUGUUGUGUGUCGUGCGUGUUGUGUGUAUGCUGUGUGUGGCUGUAUGUGUGAUGCAUGUUGUGUGUGUGUUGUGUGUGUGUUGUGUGUCGUGUGUUGUGUGUGUUGUGUGUUGUGUGUGUUGUGUGUCGUGUGUUGUGUGUUGUGUGUCGUGUGUUGUGUGUGUUGUGUGUGUGGUUGUGUGUCAUGUGUGUGUUGUGUGUAUGUUGUGUGUCAUAUGUUGUGUGUUGUGUGUCGUGUGUUGUGUGUAUGCUGUGUGUGGCUGUAUGUGUGAUGCAUGUUGUGUGUGUUGUGUGUUGUGUGUUGUGUGUCGUGUGUUGUGUGUGGCUGUAUGUGUGAUGCAUGUUGUGUGUUGUGUGUCGUGCGUGUUGUGUGUAUGUUUUGUGUUGUGUGUGUGUUGUGUGUGGCUGUGUGUAUGUGUGAUGCAUGUUGUGUGUGUUGUGUGUGUGGUUGUGUGUACGUGUGUGUGUGUGUGGUGUGUGUGUUCCUGCGUGCUUGCUCAUCCACAGAGAUGGGGAGGCAGUCGGUCAGGAGGGAGACAGUUACUGAAAGGACUGGUGGGAAAUCAGCCCCAACAGCCCUCCCUUUCCCAGGAGCCCCACCCAGUCAACCACACUCCUGACUCCCCUUUGACAAGACAUUUGCGUGCUGACUCCGUGUUUAUUUGCACAGGGUUCUGCAGACCCAGAGCCUUCCUCCCGGCGACAGGCUUGGGGAGGCUGGUUCAACAAGGGCCCCGAUUCCCGGGAGUCUGGACUUGA